rnacentral:rRNA from 1 species
GACGAACGCUGGCGGCGUGCUUAACACAUGCAAGUCGAACGGAAAGGCCCUGCUUGCAGGGUGCUCGAGUGGCGAACGGGUGAGUAACACGUGGGUGAUCUGCCCCUUACUUUGGGAUAAGCCUGGGAAACUGGGUCUAAUACUGGAUAGGACCAUGCUGUAGGUGGUGUGGUGGAAAGAUUAGUUUCGGUAAGGGAUGAGCUCGCGGCCUAUCAGCUUGUUGGUGGGGUAAUGGCCUACCAAGGCGUCGACGGGUAGCCGGCCUGAGAGGGUGGACGGCCACAUUGGGACUGAGAGACGGCCCAGACUCCUACGGGAGGCAGCAGUGGGGAAUAUUGCACAAUGGGCGCAAGCCUGAUGCAGCGACGCCGCGGGGGGGAUGACGGCCUUCGGGUUGUAAACUCCUUUCAGCCAUGACGAAGCCCUUGUGGUGACGGUAGUGGUAGAAGAAGCACCGGCUAACUACGUG